rnacentral:lncRNA from 1 species
UUUUUGACAGGUAAACUCAGGUAAGCUUAGGCAAUAACACCUAUUUAUCUAUAAAUUUAUUCAAUUAUUUUUAAGUAAAAGUACCCUUUCCGUUAGUCUAAGUGACCUACUCAUCCACAAGGAGGUAGAAGUUGGAUACAAGGAGGAUAAGUCGGUUGCAUUAUAUUCUAUCAAUCCGGAAAGUUUAAUACUCAUCAUAUACUAAUGAUUUUACCCCGAUUUGCUAUAAUAAAAACAUCCUCAAAUGUUCGUGCCUUGACAAAACUUUACAAACUAACUUAGAUUAUUUAGAAUUUUAAAGAGAUCACUAUUCGGGGUACU